ACGUGAUCUGAGUUCAGACCGGAGUAAUCCAGGUCAGUUUCUAUCUAUAAGGGACUCUUUCCAGUACGAAAGGACCGAAAAAGCAUGGCCAAUACUUUAUGCAAGCCAUUAUUAAUAAUUUAUGACUAAACCUCAAUAAACAAUUAACCCAUUAUAUAUCUCAAAAAAAGAGU
rnacentral:rRNA from 1 species